rnacentral:lncRNA from 1 species
UAAGCAAAACUCAGAUUUGUUCAUCUAGCUACAGCUAUCUGCAACCUAUCACUGGCACCAAUCUGUUCCUUCAUACCGAAGGUAAAUUACAGUCAGGAUGAAAUAUUUUUCUAAUUAAAAAAUGUUAAUUGAUCUCUCUCUACCUUCUCCCCAGUGAAUAAUGCAGUUGAAUUAUCUUUAGAAUUUGCACAGAACCUUUGAUAACAAUGGAGUUAUUUGUAUACAACCUUUUUUUUAUUCCACGAAGUCCUAUUGUUGUGUUGAUUGUGCUCUGAAGUCAUAGCAAGCUUCCCUCUAUUGCUAUUUGCUAUUUAUUUCAGUCCCAACACACAGCUCCUAAAUUCUUGUUAAAGUUGUUUCUGUAAACUCAGACACUCUCACAUGAAAUACAUGAGGCAGUUAUGGUUCCAUUCAUUUGCUUGUAUCUGUUUGCUGUAUCUAGAGAGCUAUUGUUAUGCAUGGAGAACUGGAAAAUAAUAACACUAAUAAAAAACAAUAAUUCUCCCAGGGUCUGCUGUCAAUAGCAACAGUCUGAAGAGAGCUCAAGCAUGGAGAGAGAGGGAUGUGUUUUGGAUGUGAAAGGAGAUGCAGAGCAGCACCAGAAGGAUCUGCUCAAUCUAUGAAACCAGGCACUGGGAAAAGGAUGGCUUUUGUCCCAUGAUGUCUCCAGUCAAGGGAUGUGUUCUACCUACAUCUUGCUCUGCUUUCCUGGAAGAAAAUACUACGUUUCAGACUGUGGUACUUCUGCUGUUUAAAAACCUCAUCUGUGUGAGACAGCCUGGGUUUCCCAUUACUUUCUAGUCCUACUUAAAUGAGAGCAGGCAAGUGAACUUAUAGCUCUUAAAAGUGACUUAACCAUGUCAUUUCUUAUUAAUGUCUGCUUUGGCACCACGCAGGGUCUUAGAACAAUUGAAUAGCCCUUGUGACCGAAAAAAGUGUAAUUAAUGAAAUGCAACAGGAAUAGUCAAGUUAUGAGACAGCCGCUUGGAUGUAUGCUGAGGCAAACUAUGGUGUUGUGUAGGAUAAUAGCCGGAGCCUAAGAUGAGGAGCAAGUUAUAGGAUGAAUGCAACAGACCUGAUGUACUGAAAAAUUACAAUUGGACACAGACAAGUUGAUAGUUUUUUUUCUUAAGAGCUCCUGAAACAACUGAAGUUAGCAUUGCGGUUAUUGUCAAUGAAGUAGUUUUCUUCUGCUUACAUGCUGUUGUUUUUGCCCAAAUUAAAGCAGUGAGUUUCCUUAUUAUUCAGUUUUCUGCUCUCGUGUAGAUUUUCUAACACCUUGAGGUAACAAGAUCAUUGUUUAUCAAAUUGAAGAGGAAAAACAAACAAAAUCUGGAAAAAAAAAAAGCUAACAAGUCCUUAGUGAAAGUGCGAUUUUUUCCAGACUUAUAACU